rnacentral:lncRNA from 1 species
AUGAAUGGUUUAGCACCAUCUUCUUGGUACUAUCUUCACGAUAGUGCGCAAGUUCUCGCGAGAUCUGGUCAUUUAAAAGUGUGUAGCACCUCCCUCCUCGCUCUUUCGCUCCUGCUUUGGCCAUGGGAUGUGCCUGCCCCUGCUUUGGCUUCCACUGUGAUUGGAAGCUUCCUGAGGCCUCACCGGGAGAGAUGCUGCUAUGCUUCCUGUACAGCCUGCAGAACCAUGAGCCGAAGUAUGAAGACCAGGGAAGUCAAUGUGUGUUCUUCUAGUUAGCACAGAAGUUUAUAGGGGGUUACAAAUAGCAAAGAAAGAUGUCAUGACUAUCACAUUGUCUUAAGACGGACUAUUAAAUACACUCCCACAUAUUGGAAAGGAAAUGAAAAUCAGCUAUGAAGGAAACAAGCCAUACAGAGAAGAAAAACUGUAAAUGAUGAGUUAUAACUCUUGAACCAGUAUACAGGAAAUGCGAUCCUGUUAUUUUUUUUUUUUUUUUGUCUUUUUCCUAUAUAAGCAAAAACUUAACUUUUAACUUCAGAGCACUGACCCUAUUUCUCUGGAAUCUGUGUGUCCCAGAAUGGCCAUUCCCAGG